GAAAUAAGCGCCACAUUUUUGACACCAUAAUAACACUUGUGGAUCUACGGUGCAUCAAACCGGUCAAGUGAAGGCUGAAAGUUUAUAUCUCACUGAAUUGUAAACAGAGAUCAAUUACACAGCUUCAAGGCUUGACGCAACUUCUCUUCUCCAACGAAAAGCUAUGGAAUGAUUUACCAAUCUGUAUCAAUAUCUAGAUAUUUCGUCACUCAAAAUAUAUCGAUCAGAUGGCGGGCAAGCAAGUUUAAGCUAUCCUAAAUGAUCAACGUUUAUGGCUGGUUCAAUGUACAAUGAAAAACAAUACGCUUCAGAAAUAACAAAUCUGAAGAACGAGAUCGAGGGUUAUAGCAAAAGGACUCGGUUGGCAUUAAACAGUUAUGAUCACAUUACUCAGUACAGAAUCAACUGAAGCUUUGUAUUGUUCUUGUACACAGAUUUCAAUGAGCUCUCUUGAAACUUUAUUUCAUUCUAAAAUAUGUCCUUUAUGCUAAUUUAUUCAUCCAAAAAAAUUCAAUAGUUGUGUCAACCAAA